AGUGAACGCUGGCGGUAGGCCUAACACAUGCAAGUCGAACGGCAGCACAGAGGAGCUUGCUCCUUGGGUGGCGAGUGGCGGCCGGGUGAGGAAUACAUCGGAAUCUACUCUGUCGUGGGGGAUAACGUAGGGAAACUUACGCUAAUACCGCAUACGACCUACGGGUGAAAGCAGGGGACCUUCGGGCCUUGCGCGGGUGAAUGAGCCGAUGUCGGAUUAGCUAGUUGGCGGGGUAAAGGCCCACCAAGGCGACGAUCCGUAGCUGGUCUGAGAGGAUGAUCAGCCACACUGGAACUGAGACACGGUCCAGACUCCUACGGGAGGCAGCAGUGGGGAAUAUUGGACAAUGGGCGCAAGCCUGAUCCAGCCAUACCGCGUGGGUGAAGAAGGCCUUCGGGUUGUAAAGCCCUUUUGUUGGGAAAGAAAUCCAGCUGGCUAAUACCCGGUUGGGAUGACGGUACCCAAAGAAUAAGCACCGGCUAACUUCGUGCCAGCAGCCGCCGGUAA
rnacentral:rRNA from 1 species